rnacentral:rRNA from 1 species
UACGGGGGGAGCAAGCGUUGUUCGGAGUUACUGGGCGUAAAGGGCGGGCAGGCGGUCUGCGCAAGUGGGGUGUGAAAUCUCCCAGCUUAACUGGGAGAGGCCAUUCCAGACUGCCAGACUGGAGGGCAGUAGAGGUAGGCGGAAUUCCGGGUGGAGUGGUGAAAUGCGUAGAGAUCCGGAGGAACACCAGAGGCGAAGGCGGACCUACUGGGCUGCGACCUGCGCUGAACCGCGAAAGCCAGGGGAGCGGAACGGG